rnacentral:piRNA from 1 species
UGUAUCUCCUUCAGUUCUGCUCUGAUC